CUGAUGCUAGCUCCCUGUUAGCUGUUAGCUGGACUACGAUCGUAUUAAAGGUUGAAGGAGCGGAUGAUUUAUUAUUAGCGUCUCUUUUCUCGUCUGUACUUGUUCAUGUACAACAGUCACAGGUCUGCUAGUCGUCGCUGGUGCUGACCUGUUUGUUGACUUUAAGCUCUCACAACAAGGCAAAAGAUAUAAAAAGUAAUGAGGACAUAAUGAAGUAUAAAAGCUUAACUGUAACUCUCAGCUAAAUACAUUGACUCAAAUACUUCACUUCAGGACACAUUUAAGGGCAGAGCAACGUGUAGCGUGUGUACAGUAAAUACAGCCGACUGUUAGCUGAGAAUAAAUCAAGGCGACAACGAUAACCUCCAUCUUUAAUUUGAGGGUGUUCACAUCACAUCAGAAAAAACAGCAGGAACAGUCUCUCAUGUUUCUGUUCUGUCAUGUUUCUGUGUAACAGAGAUGUCGGAUACUUCAGAGAAAAAGUGGAAACCAACUCUGACUAAAAUCCUGGAGGAGCUGGACAACAAACAGUACAGAAAGACAAUGGAAUAUUUGGACAAAGUUCCCAAAGGUCAGAAGAAAGGCAGAUCUUUUGCAACGAUGGCCCAAAAAAUAAUUGAGCGCUACGGACAUGACGAAUCAAUUUCUACAAUACAUAAAAUCAUGGAAGAGAUACCGAGGAAGGAUCCGAGGAUGCAGGAACUGUUGGGCCCCUUUGUUGAAGAACUGAGGAGCAAAAAUGAAAAAGGGAGAAAAGGAAAGAAGAGAAAGUGUGAUUCAGUGGAGAAGGAAGACAAUCCUCCAGCAGAGAUGUCGGAUACUUCAGAGAAAAAGUGGAAAGCAACUCUGACUAAAAUCCUGGAGGAGCUGGACAACAAACAGUACAGAGAGACGAUGGAAUAUUUGGACAAAAUCCCCGGAAGUCAGAAGAAAGGCAGAUCUGAAGCAACGAUGGCCCAAAAAAUCAUUGAGCGCUACGGACAUGAUGAAUCAAUUUCUGCAAUACAUAAUAUCAUGGAAGAGAUACCGAGGAAGGAUCCAAGGAUGCAGGAACUGUUGGGCCCCUUUGUCGAAGAACUGAGCAGCAAAAAUGAAAAAGGGAGAAAAGGAAAGAAGAGAAAGUGUGAUCCAGUGGAGAAGGAAGACAAUCCUCCAGCAGGUAGGUUACCAGACAACACAUCACUCAGAGAAGUGUUUCACUGCUGGCUCGUGCAUGAAACUGGUUCGUCUCUGCAGCAGAAAGACACUAAUAUGUUUGAAAGUAGUGUGAUGAACAGAGAUAAAAGGCUGUGGUAUCCCUUCUGCUCCAAAGACAGAAAACCUACAACAACCAGAAUGCACUGCACCAGACCAAAAUAAAUAAUAUAUUUCCACUGAUGGAUGGUGCUGCUUCGUUUUGCUCCGUAGUUGACUGGCUGCUAACAAACACCAUUGAAGCUAAAACUCACUGAACAGGAUUCAGAAUCAGAAUCAGAAAUCCUUUAAUGUCCCGCAGACGGGGAAAUUUGUUUGUCGCAGCAGUGGAAUAUUAUUGUG
rnacentral:lncRNA from 1 species